GCAUUGAUGGUCCAGUGGUAGAAUUUUCACCUGCUAUGCGGGAGACCUGGGUUCGAUUCCUGGUCAAUGCC
rnacentral:tRNA from 1 species